rnacentral:rRNA from 1 species
AUUGAACGCUGGCGGCAUGCUUUACACAUGCAAGUCGAACGGCAGCGGGGGCUUCGGCCUGCCGGCGAGUGGCGAACGGGUGAGUAAUGCAUCGGAACGUGCCCAUGUCGUGGGGGAUAACGUAUCGAAAGGUACGCUAAUACCGCAUACGUCCUGAAGGAGAAAGCGGGGGAUCUUCGGACCUCGCGCGAUUGGAGCGGCCGAUGUCGGAUUAGCUAGUAGGUGAGGUAAAGGCUCACCUAGGCGACGAUCCGUAGCGGGUCUGAGAGGAUGAUCCGCCACACUGGGACUGAGACACGGCCCAGACUCCUACGGGAGGCAGCAGUGGGGAAUUUUGGACAAUGGGCGCAAGCCUGAUCCAGCCAUGCCGCGUGAGUGAAGAAGGCCUUCGGGUUGUAAAGCUCUUUCGGCCGGGAAGAAAUCGGCGACUCUAACAUAGUCGCUGGAUGACGGUACCGGACUAAGAAGCACCGGCUAACUACGUGCCAGCCGCCGCCGUAACAC